AUUGAACUCUGGCGGCAGGCCUAACACAUGCAAGUCGAACGAGUGGCGGACGGGUGAGUAAUGUCUGGGAAACUGCCUGAUGGAGGGUGAUAACUACUGGAAACGGUAGCUAAUCCCGCAUACCAUCGGAUGUGCCCAGAUGGGAUUAGCUAGUGGGUGGGGUAAAGGCUCACCUAGGCGACGAUCCCUAGCUGGUCUGAGCGGAUGACCAGCCACACUGGAACUGAGACACGGUCCAGACUCCUACGGGAGGCAGCAGUGGGGAAUAUUGCACAAUGGGCGCAAGCCUGAGACAGCCAUGCCGCGUGUAUGAAGAAGGCCUUCGGGUUGUAAAGUACUUUCAGCGGGGAGGCGUUACCCGCAGAAGAAGCACCGGCUAACUCCGUGCCAGCCGCCGCGGUAAUUC
rnacentral:rRNA from 1 species